AGCAGCGUGGCUCAGUGGAAAGAGCCUGGGCUUCGCAGUCAGAGGCCAUGGGUUCGACUCCCAGCUCUGCCC
rnacentral:tRNA from 1 species